GUGGGAUAUGGGUAUGUGUCUCUCUAACCUGAGGCUGCCUCAGUGACUUACAAGUAACUCACUGUGCUUUGAUGCUGAACUAUCCAAAUUUUUAAUUCGAUGAUGGAAGGUUACUAGGUAUAGUCAAGUACUUGUGAAGUCUGAGUGUGAGUCAAGAUGGGAUUGAUCACUCCAAGUAAAAUUAAAGAUGAUGCAUCACUGUGUUUUAAUUUAGCAAAACUUUGAUCAAAGUAGUCCUAGU
rnacentral:lncRNA from 1 species